rnacentral:rRNA from 1 species
UACGGGGGGGGCAAGCGUUGUUCGGAAUUACUGGGCGUAAAGGGCGCGUAGGCGGCCUUCUAAGUCGGACGUGAAAUCCCUCGGCUUAACCGAGGAACUGCGUCCGAGACUGAAAGGCUUGAAUCCGGGAGAGGGAUGUGGAAUUCCAGGUGUAGCGGUGAAAUGCGUAGAUAUCUGGAGGAGCACCGGUGGCGAAGGCGGCAUCCUGGACCGGCAUUGACGCUGAGGCGCGAAAGCUAGGGGAGCAAACGGG